rnacentral:rRNA from 1 species
UACGUAGGGUGCAAGCGUUAAUCGGAAUUACUGGGCGUAAAGCGUGCGCAGGCGGUUUUGUAAGUUUGUCGUGAAAUCCCCGGGCUCAACCUGGGAAUGGCGAUGGAAGACUGCAAGGCUAGAAUCUGGCAGAGGGGGUAGAAUUCCACGUGUGAGCAGUGAAAUGCGUAGAGAUGUGGAGGAACACCGAUGGCGAAGGCAGCCCCCUGGGU